rnacentral:rRNA from 1 species
UUAAUAAUUUAUAUAUAAUAUUUUAUGAUAUUUAUAUAAUAUUAACAUAAUUCAUAUUACUAUUAUUAUUAGUAUAUGAAAUUUUACUUUGAGAAAAUUAGAGUGCUUAAAGCAGGCUUUUGCCUUGAAUACUCCAGCAUGGAAUAAUAUAAAAGAUUUUUAUCUUUUUUAUUGGUUCUAAGAUAAGAAUAAUGAUUAAUAGGGACAGUUGGGGGCAUUUGUAUUUAACAGUCAGAGGUGAAAUUCUUAGAUUUGUUAAAGACAAACUAGUGCGAAAGCAUUUGCCAAGGAUGUUUUCAUUAAUCAAGAACGAAAGUUAGGGGAUCGAAGACGAUCAGAUACCGUCGUAGUCUUAACCAUAAACUAUGCCAACUAGAGAUUGGAGGUUGUU